CGGAAUUGCUAGUAAUGGCAGGUCAGCAUACUGCCGUGAAUACGUUCCCGGGCCUUGUACACACCGCCCGUCACACCAUGAGAGUUGGGGAUACCCGAAGCCUGUGAGCCAACUAUAUAGAGGCAGCAGUCGAAGGUAGAAUCAAUGAUUGGGGUGAAGUCGUAACAAGGUAAC
rnacentral:rRNA from 1 species